AACGAACGCUGGCGGCAGGCCUAACACAUGCAAGUCGAACGCUCCGCAAGGGGAGUGGCGCACGGGUGAGUAACACGUGGGAACCUACCUUCUGGUACGGAACAACCAAGGGAAACUCUGGCUGAUACCGUAUACGACCUCCGGGUGAAAGAUUGAUCGCCGGAAGAGGGGCCCGCGUCCGAUUAGGUAGUUGGUGAGGUAACGGCUCACCAAGCCUGCGAUCGGUAGCUGGUCUGAGAGGACGACCAGCCACACUGGGACUGAGACACGGCCCAGACUCCUACGGGAGGCAGCAGUGGGGAAUAUUGGACAAUGGGCGCAAGCCUGAUCCAGCCAUGCCGCGUGAGUGAUGAAGGCCUUCGGUUG
rnacentral:rRNA from 1 species